ACGGGAGGCAGCAGUGAGGAAUAUUGGUCAAUGGACGGAAGUCUGAACCAGCCAAGUCGCGUGAAGGGUGAAGGUUCUAUGGAUUGUAAACUUCUUUUGCCUGAGGGCAAAGUGCAGUACGUGUACUGUUUUGCAAGUAUCAGACGAAUAAGCAUCGGCUAACUCCGUGCCAGCAGCCGCGGUAAUACGGAGGAUGCGAGCGUUAUCCGGAUUUAUUGGGUUUAAAGGGUGCGUAGGCGGAAUGUUAAGUCAGUGGUAAAAGCGUGUGGCUCAACCAUACCAAGCCGUUGAUACUGGCGUUCUUGAGUGUAAACGAGGUAGGCGGAAUAUGACGUGUAGCGGUGAAAUGCUUAGAUAUGUCAUAGAACCCCGAUUGCGAAGGCAGCUUACCAGCAUACAACUGACGCUGAGGCACGAAAGCGUGGGUAUCGAACAGGAUUAGAUACCCUGGUA
rnacentral:rRNA from 1 species